ACUACGGGAGGCUGCAGUGGGGGAUAUUGCACAAUGGGGGAAACCCUGAUGCAGCGACGCCGCGGGAGUGAAGAAGGAGUUCGGGAUGUAAAGCUCUAUCAGCAGGGAAGAAAAUGACAGUACCUGACCAAGAAGCCCCGGCUAACUACGUGCCAGCAGCCGCGGUAAUACGUAGGGGGCAAGCGUUAUCCGGAUUUACUGGGUGUAAAGGGAGCGUAGACGGUUAUGUAAGUCUGGAGUGAAAGCCCGGGGCCCAACCCCGGGACUGCUUUGGAAACUGUGUAACUGGAGUACAGGAGGGGCAGGCGGAAUUCCUGGUGUAGCGGUGACAUGCGUAGAUAUCAGGUGGAACACCGGCGGCGAAGGCGGCCUGCUGGACUGAAACUGACGUUGAGGCUCGAAAGCGUGGGGAGCAAACAGGAUUAGAUACCCGGGUAGUC
rnacentral:rRNA from 1 species